rnacentral:pre_miRNA from 1 species
AAGAUACUCCCUCCGUUCCGAAUUACUUGUCGCAGGUAUGGAUGUAUCUAGAUGUAUUUUAGUUCUAGAUACAUCCAUUUCUGUGACAAGUAAUUUGGAACGAAGGGAGUAUAAG